UUUCUUUAAGAGUGUAAUGUUGUUAGUCGAGAGUAGACGAAGAAUUUGUCAACUCCUCCUCUAUGAAAUCGCGUAAAAUACACAACUGAGGCGGAGCCGUGUCUUGUUUAGGGGUGAGACUUCAGAGACACCAAUAUUUCCAAUUGUUCUUGCUUGUCGGCAGGGAAUAUUUUUACCCCUGAGGUAACGUAGCCACAGUUAAAAUGUUGUAUAAAAAGUAAUAGAACAGCAUCAUUUGCAAGGGAGUGUAAAAGUAGAGAUCGUUCACAUCCAUGAGGAGCGGGGGCGUGGUCAGGAAGGCACAGUUUAGGAAAGUUUCGCUUUUUCCUGGUGGGUCUCGCGAUCUCCGGCCUCGCAACGUUGCUGCCAAGUUGCUCCGCUGACCGGCGCCCUCGCUCAUCUCAUCUUCCUGAACGCUAGAGCUGACUUUUCCUGUCCGCAUUUCCUCUCUUCUCGCCUUUUCCGCCGCUCCCGUCUUCCCUCCGGGCCUCUCUCCAAAACUAAACGGCCCCAGCAAUUCCUGGGGCGACUGCGCUUCCGCAAUCUGCAGAAGAGGGUCCCAGCUCUGGGGGAGCCGAGCAACUGCAGAGAGAGCCGAGGAGCCCCGCGCCCAGCAAAGUCCCCCGGACCCCUCGUUGGGAAAGGUCGCGGCGGCGUGGAGUCAACACGUCUGUCCUCCGAAAGGAAGUCUGUUAAUCGGCUCAUUUCCCCGCUUCUCUAACAAGAAAAGCUUGCUCGUGCAAACUCGAAGCAGCGUGUCCACUGACUAUUGACUAUAGCCAGUUAUAGCUUCCCGUCCCCUGGUCAAUCGACCCAGACCUCUGAAUUUGGGCUGCGAUCCCCUUGUGUCUUGUCCGCGAACAGUUUUCUCUCGGCCUCCGUCGACUCUCUCAGACCCAUUGCCUGGGAGUAAAUCCGUUUCUAAAUUUCUCUGCCCACAACUACCGCCGCAUUUCCUCUCGCUCUUCUCACCUGCCGCUCUUCUCUAGAGAUUUCCAGCUCCAGGAAAGCUCAGGCGACUUCCUUGUGCAUUUCCUUUCGAGAUUUCUCUUUUUUUCCCUCAAGAAGUAAGUGGUGUACAGUAAGCAUUAAGUUGUCCUUUGGCUGGUGACUGCUGAGGCUGGGUUCAGCAGAUUUGACUUGGGACUAUCAGGAAUAAAAUCGGGCGCAGAGAUUUGUAGAACAAGACAACGGGCUGCAGAGAGGUGAUGGGGAUCGAAUAAGAAAAAGAAAGAGAAAACUAGGUCCCACCGAGAUUUGAACUCGGAUCGCUGGAUUCAGAGUCCAGAGUGCUAACCAUUACACCAUGGGGCCCAGCCGUUCAUAAAGUUUUCUGAAGACUGAGAUGACCUAGUUCUUCUUCCUUAAAUGUGGUUAUUUGAAAGGUCAGUACAUUUGGUUUUUCCUCCUCUGGAUUUAAAUCAUGGAUGGUUACCUGUUACACGCCAGCACACAACACCUUUUACACCAAAGUUUUAAUGGAAAACGCCGACUUCCAAACGUCAGGAAUACUCCCCCGCAUUUCCUCCCAAGUGUUUCCGGAACCUUGUGACCCGGGGCCUCUCUUUCUACACUGGAAAACAGCGGAGUCCAUGAACAAGACUGCGCCCUUACGGUGUUUAUGGCUUUGUGACAGGUGUUUUGUUAGCUCACCUAAGGCUCACAACUAUCCUGUGAGAUGGGGACCGUUAUCGCUGUUUUACGGGUGAGGAACCCGAGGCAGAGACCUGAGAUCCUUCACUCUGCUUCAUUAUCAGGUCUUAUCUUUCUCGAAAAUCAUCUUUAACUAGUGUGAUAUCUGGCACUUUUGCGGACGCGUUGAGGAAAGAUUUUACCGGCCACAGGAGAGACGUUGGCGUUUAGGGAAAAAUCGAAAUCAGUGUGCUUGAAUGACGGGGCUGGAGGAGGAUCCCAGAAGCUCUGAGAGCGCAACUCCGGGGGCGAAAAGGAGGGAGAAGGACAGAGCGCAGCCCGCCGUCCUCCUACUCUGCCCUCACCAACCGGAAAUACGAGCAGGAAAGACCCCCAAACGGACUCAGAAAGAUUCCCCGCCCCUGCCUCGCAUAGCCCUUUCUGGCACACACAGGACCAUACUGUGAAAAUCCACAAAACAAAUUUCUGUUCCUGGGAUGACUUUCAUUGAGGGUCCUGUUUCAGCAUCUUCGUAAACUUCUUCUGCUGACCGUUAACUGGCUUAGAGCGCGAAGGUUCUCCGUACAAGUUUAACAAUGAAUUUUGAGCAAUUUCUUUGGUGGUAUAACAAUACACAGCUGUCCUCAAAGUCGUUUACUUGGGUUGCAUUCUCGCUCAAUGAGAGCGGACCUAGUGGGAUUUGAAGUCUUCUGAUUUUAAGCACCUGAGGCCAGGAGUCGAGGCCUGCGCGCCCCCUCUUGGGCACCGACGGUAAAGCGCAAACACAGCCAGGUGCCGUUCAAGAGCCUUACAUGUUUUCUCAUUGAAUUCUACAAAAUCCCGACUAGUAAACAUCAUCAUCAUCAUCAUGGCCUUGUACAUUUUACGGAUGAAGAAACAUUGCCUCGAUCCAGGAAAUGGCAGAGCUGGGCAUUCAAGCCAGGUUGUCUGGCUCCAGAGCGAACUAAGAACGCUAAGAGCUAACAAUUACUAUGUGACGUGGUCUCCCUUGUUGGACUUGGAGAAAUAUUGUUGGAAAUAAGUAUUUCUGUGUCUAGGCUUGGAGAAUUACUUAUGUCUUAAUUUCUGUUAAAAGUGUCAUCAAUAUUAAUAAUAUUUUUUAAACAUAGGGAAAAGCAUGAAGAUUUAAGAACCCCUUUUUACACAUUUUUACCACAAAUGCCCAGAAUGGGAUGUUUUUACACUGCAAACCCAAUGACUUUAUUAACAAUGUGUUGAGAGGAACAAGUUUGUGACCUUGAUGUCUACUCUCCUCACAAUCACCUUAGAUUGUCCUUCUCCCUUAGCUCUGGGGCCCACUCCUCCUGCCCAGAGACAGAGCCCAGGACACUCAGAGUCAGUGUGACCAAGCUCAGAAGCCAGGCUACUUUCUCAGAGCCAUCGGAGCCCAGGUCUAGGGUCUGAACCGGCAGACCCUGAUGGAGGCCAGGUUUUGUGGAAGGGUGGGGAGGAAAGUUAAGUUCCUCAGAUUGCCUCCUGUCAGUCUUGUGGGACAAAAAUGUUAAUAAUUGCCAGAAUUUGCUGAGUGCUUUGUUUGCUCAGGUAAUAAAUAAUUACAGACCAG
rnacentral:tRNA from 1 species